rnacentral:misc_RNA from 1 species
AACCAUAGAAACCUGCGGAGUACCUGCGGAAGGAUCAUUACCGAGUUAUACAACUCAUCAACCCUGUGAACAUACCUAAAACGUUGCCUCGGCGGGAACAGACGGCCCCGUAACACGGGCCGCCCCCGCCAGAGGACCCCCUAACUCUGUUUCUAUAAUGUUUUUUCUGAGUAAACAAGCAGAUAAAUCAAAACUUUUAACAAUGGAUCU